AUUGAACGCUGGCGGCAGGCCUAACACAUGCAAGUCGAGCGAGCGGCGGACGGGUGAGUAAUGUCUGGGAAACUGCCUGAUGGAGGGGGAUAACUACUGGAAACGGUAGCUAAUACCGCAUACCAUCAGAUGUGCCCAGAUGGGAUUAGCUAGUAGGUGGGGUAAUGGCUCACCUAGGCGACGAUCCCUAGCUGGUCUGAGAGGAUGACCAGCGACACUGGAAUGUAGACACGGUCCAGACGCCUACGGGAGGCAGCAUUGGGGAAUAUUGAACGAUGGGCGCAAGCCUGAUGCAGCCAUGCCGCGUGUGUGAAGAAGGCCUUCGGGUUGUAGAGCACUUUCAGCGGGGAGGCGUUACCCGAAGAAGAAGCACCGGCUAACUCCGUGCCAGCAGCCGCGGUAAUAG
rnacentral:rRNA from 1 species